UAAUACUCUUCGGUUGUCUUAUCAUCACUUUAAAGUACAUAUAUAAUCAUAAAUGAAAGGUUCCUGAAGUUAGGAAAAGAAAAAAUAAUAACUUUUUUGGGUAUCCAUACAAUAUUUAGAUGACAUCUUUUGAAAUAUUCUAUCAUAAGGUAUAUUUCACAUUUAUUUUUAGGUGCUUCUUGGAUAAUAACUCAUUCUCUUUUACGGGGCAUUUUUGUACUCUCUGGAAUCUGGGAUGCAAAAUCAGGGCGAUAAUUAUAACCAUACUCACAUAUGUGUUCAAUGCACUUGACAACUCUUAAAUGGUUCACAGGUUUUGGACAACCGUCAUCAGUUACACGCUGAAAAACCUCUGCUUACCACCACGAAUUUUUGCUGGUAAAAUAAUUAAGAAAAUAAAUAAAUUCAUAGCAUAAAAAUCCUUGAGAAUUUCAGCCAUAUUUG
rnacentral:lncRNA from 1 species